rnacentral:ncRNA from 1 species
UCAAAGUUUGAUUCUAGCUUUAAGUUUAAAUUAAAGAUUAAUUUACAUGUAAAUAUUUAUGUUAUAAACAAUUUUUCUAAAUGAAAAUUAAUACAAACACAGUAUAUAAUAUUAUAUAUUAAAAUUAUUAGAUAUAGUAAUUUUUAUUAAGAAUAGACUAAGUUCGUGCCAGCAGUCGCGGUUAUACGAUAUAUUCAAUUUAAACAGUUAAGUUUCAAUUACAAAAUAUUUUGAUAUAAUAAUUUAUUAAUUUUGGUGAAAUAUAUUUAUAAUAUUAUUCAUAUUUUUAUGUUUGAGAAACUUUUUUAUUAGACUAGGAUUAGAUACCCUUUUAUUGAAAGCGUAAAAUAUUAAAAUUUGAUUAUUAUUAGUUAUGACCUUAAAAUUCAAAGAAUUUGGCGGUAAUUUAUCUUUUCAGAGGAAUCUGUUUUGUAAUUGAUAAUCCACGAUAGAUUUAACUUUAAAUAUACUUGUAUAUCUCUGUCAGGAAUGUUCUUUAAGGAAAUUUUCAUUUAUUAUAUAUAUGUAAUGUCAGGUCAAGGUGCAGUUUAUUUUAAAGUAAAAAUGGAUUACAUUUUCAUAUUAUUAGAUUAUAUUCUUGUGAGAAUAUUAUGAAAUAGGAUUUGAUAGUAAAUUUAUUAAAUUAAAUUUUUUGAAUAAAGCUCUAAAUUAUGUACACAUCGCCCGUCACUCUCAUUUUAAAGUGAGAUAAGUCGUAACAAAGUAGCUGUACCGGAAGGUGUGGCUAGAAUGC